CCUACGGGAGGCAGCAGUGAGGAAUAUUCGGCAAUGGACGCAAGUCUGAACCAGCCAUGCCGCGUGCAGGAAGAAGGCUCUAUGAGUUGUAAACUGCGUUUGUACGAGGGUAAACGCAGAUACGUGUAUCUGUCUGAAAGUAUCGUAUGAAUCAGGAACGGCUAACUCCGUGCCAGCAGCCGCGGUAAUACGGAGGAUUCAAGCGUUAUCCGGAUUUAGUGGGUUUAAGGGGUGCGUAGGCGGUCGGAUAAGUUAGAGGUGAAAUCCCGAGGCUCAACUGCGGAAUUGCAUCUGAUACUGGUAGGCUAGAGAGUAGAUGAGGUAGGCGGAAUGUAUGGUGUAGCGGUGAAAUGCUUAGAGAUAAUACAGAACACCAGUUGCGAAGGCAGCUUACCAAGCUACAUCUGACGUUGAGGCACGAAAGCGUGGGGAGCAAACAGGAUUAGAUACCCCAGUAGUC
rnacentral:rRNA from 1 species